GACGAACGCUGGCGGCGUGCUUAACACAUGCCAGUCGAACGGAAAGGCCCCUUUGGGGGUACUCGAGUGGCGAACGGGUGAGUAACACGUGAGUAACCUGCCCUUUACUUCGGGAUAACUUCAGGAAACUGGGGCUAAUACCGGGUAGGAAUCCUUGCUGCAUGGUGGGGGUUGGAAAGCUUCGGCGGUUUUGGAUGGACUCGCGGCUUAUCAGCUUGUUGGUGGGGUAGUGGCUUACCAAGGCUUUGACGGGUAGCCGGCCUGAGAGGGCGACCGGCCACAUUGGGACUGAGAUACGGCCCAGACUCCUACGGGAGGCAGCAGUGGGGAAUAUUGCACAAUGGGCGGAAGCCUGAUGCAGCAACGCCGCGUGCGGGAUGACGGCCUUCGGGUUGUAAACCGCUUUCAGCAGGGGCGAAGCUUUUGUGACGGUACCUGCAGAAGAAGCACCGGCUAACUACGUG
rnacentral:rRNA from 1 species